AGAGUUUGAUCCUGGCUCAGGACGAACGCUGGCGGCGCGCUUAACACAUGCAAGUCGAGCGAGAACCGACCUUCGGGUCUGGGGACAGCGGCGAACGGGUGAGUAACACGUGGGUAAUCAACCCUCGGUACUGGGAUAGCCCGGGGAAACCCGGAUUAAUACCGGAUGGCCCUUCGGAUCUUCGGUUCUGAAGGAAAAGGUAGCUUCGGCCUCCGACCGAGGACGAGCCCGCGGCGGAUUAGCUUGUUGGUGGGGUAACGGCCUACCAAGGCGGCGAUCCGUAGCUGGUCUGAGAGGACGAUCAGCCACACUGGGACUGAGACACGGCCCAGACUUCUACGGAAGGCAGCAGUGGGGAAUCUUGCGCUAAUGCGGGAAACCGUGACGCAGCGACGCCGCGUGAGGGAAGAAGGCCUUCGGGUUGUAAACCUCUUUCAGGAGGGACGAAGCUACUCGGGUUAAUAGCCCAGAGGGUGACGGUACCUUCAGAAGAAGCCCCGGCUAACUACGUGCCAGCAGCCGCGGUAAUACGUAGGGGGCAAGCGUUGUCCGGAUUUAUUGGGCGUAAAGAGCGUGUAGGCGGCUUUACAGGUCCGUUGUGAAAACUCGAGGCUCAACCUCGAGACGCCGGUGGAAACCGUAAGGCUAGAGUCCGGAAGAGGAGAGUGGAAUUCCUGGUGUAGCGGUGAAAUGCGCAGAUAUCAGGAGGAACACCCGUGGCGAAAGCGGCUCUCUGGGACGGUACUGACGCUGAGACGCGAAAGCGUGGGGAGCAAACAGGAUUAGAUACCCUAGUAGUCC
rnacentral:rRNA from 1 species